UCAAGCAUAUGCAUGUAAGUAUAAAUUCUUUCUAUCUUUAAUUUGCAAAUAUUGGAUGCUUGAAGCAAUUGUAUGAAUUGUGGUUUUUGGUAAUGGUGAGUGACUAAGUGUUGUUGAAUUUUGAGCUUGCGAAUGCCUAAGAAUUGUCAAUAUAAUUACAAGUUCUGAAAACGUGAAGUUGAUCAUUGAUCUAUGUGAUGAGAUGUUAUCGUUGAGUUAUUUGCUUAUUGGUAAAUUUUGCUUGAGGACAAGCAAAAGUUCAAGUUUGG
rnacentral:lncRNA from 1 species